rnacentral:rRNA from 1 species
UAGGGAAUAUUAGUAAUGGGCGAAAGCCUGAACUAGCAACACCGCGUGUGCGAAGAAGGCCUUCGGGUUGUAAAGCACUUUUUGAGAGGAUGAGGAAGGACGGUACUCUCAGAAUAAGUCUCGGCUAACUACGUGCCAGCAGCCGCGGUAACACGUAGGAGGCAAACGUUAUCCGGAUUUACUGGGCGUAAAGCGCGUGUAGGUGGUUUGGUAAGUAGAGCGUGAAAGCUCCUGGCUCAACUGGGAGAGGUCGUUCUAAACUGCCGGACUAGAGGAUGGUAGAGGGAGGUGGAAUUCCGGGUGUAGCGGUUGAAUGCGCAGAUAUCCGGAGGAACACCAGUGGCGAAAGCGGCCUCCUGGACCACUCCUGACACUCAGACGCGAAAGCGUGGGGAGCAAACA